rnacentral:pre_miRNA from 1 species
AAUCUUUUGUAUCUGUGCUAAGAUUUCGCCACACACCAGAUCACAAGUGCUGAUGAGACUUCUCAGAUAAGUGAAGCG